UCAUGGAGGGCCGAGACACUCCAGGUUUUCUUCCCAAAGCUGCUGAUUAGAAUGAUGAACCCUCCUUUGGUUUGAGGGAAGCAGCUCAUCAAUGAAAUCACCUGCUCGAGAAAGAAAGAAAACCUGCAGUGCUUCGGCCUCUGUCGACACAUGUGCUUUAACAGACAAACCUUAUCGCAAAUAACUGAAUUAUCAAAAGUAUCGACAUUUUGAUUUGAGAGUCGUUUAUUCAUAGCGAUAUUUCAGUAUCGAUCCGCACAUCGUGGAUGACGGGACACCUGGAUUCCUCCUCUCAGUGCAGUGACGUGUGGAAACUUUGUGUCCUAUACGCAAAUAUUGCCCUUUUCAGUUUUAGAUGGGAUGUCUUCACUUUCAAGCCGUCUGAGAGGUGUCACCCCAACCCUACCCACCCCCGUCCAGAGGCUGAGACUUCCACGCCGGCCCUCCUGUUUGCAGAUCCUUUCAGGAAGUGGAGGGCGAAGGGCGAUGUGUCUGAAGGCCUGGAAACAAGGUCCGCCGAGCCCACAGAGAAAGAAGCCCUCGGCUAUGGCCAGGCGGAAAAACAAGUGCACAGACGGCGAUGUGACACAAAAAUUCAUGUAAGUAUAAAAUUUUACACUCAUUUUCCCUGUCAGCUUGUCAGAAUGAAUUAUAAAGGUUGAUUCGCUUAUUCGGCUAAGGGAGAUCCCACAUGCCUGCCCGUCUGAACACCGUCAUAUGGUCACCGUCGGACUUGCGGGGAGACCUUCGGGUAAAGGUAACGCUGCAUGGGUUCGCUUCAAGAUGGUAGUAAUUCCAUCGGUUGCCGUCCACCAAGAGUCGACGGAGAGUCUACGAGUUUACCUUUUUAUUUGUCCUUCAUUUUUCAGUGGAAUUUCCACCGUGAGCAACUUUCUUUUUGAGGUUCUGUCACCGUCUUGUAGCUUUCACUCACCUGUUUUAAUCUCAUCACAUACUUGCAUAAGGACUUUUUGUCUUUCAGUAGAGUUUUUUUGCUCAUAUUCUCUAAUUAGCACAGUGCCUGCAGGCUAUUUGUGACCUUUCCGUAUGUAAAUAGCUGGUUGCCUAAGCCCCCGCUCUCUGGCUCGCCUUGACAAUGAGAGCAGUCGGAGUGGGCCAGCACUCGUGCGUGGAUGGGUGUCACCACUCCCGGCAUGUUUGGCAGAGGCCAUGGCGGCAUCGGGAAGUGAGGUGUUUGGGAGCGUUUUGAUUGACAGCUGCCAGGUGUGAUGCUGGCAGCCUGACGCAGUGCGCGGCAACUGUCAACUGUCACUUCCCUUUGCAUCAUACACCACCUCCUGAGCCCUGUCACACGGCCUGAGCACGCCAACUUUGGGAGAGGCCUCGGCCUUGGAUGUAUUGGAUGGUUGCUAGCGAGCGGGCUAUUUUUCUACUUUUCUGGACCGUACCGUUUUUCACUGGGAAACUACCAUUUAUUGCCCUCC